AACGAACGCUGGCGGCAUGCCUAACAUAUGCAAGUCGAACGAGACCUUCGGGUCUAGUGGCACACGGGUGCGUAACGCGUGGGAAUCUGCCCUUUGCUUCGGAAUAACAGUUAGAAAUGACUGCUAAUACCGGAUGAUGUCGAAAGACCAAAGAUUUAUCGGCAAAGGAUGAGCCCGCGUAGGAUUAGGUAGUUGGUGGGGUAAAGGCCUACCAAGCCGACGAUUCUUAGCUGGUCUGAGAGGAUGAUCAGCCACACUGGGACUGAGACACGGCCCAGACUCCUACGGGAGGCAGCAGUGGGGAAUAUUGGACAAUGGGCGAAAGCCUGAUCCAGCAAUGCCGCGUGAGUGAUGAAGGCCUUAGGGUUGUAAAGCUCUUUUACCAGGGAUGAUAAUGACAGUACCUGGAGAAUAAGCUCCGGCUAACUCCGUGCCAGCCGCCGCGGUAAAAC
rnacentral:rRNA from 1 species